rnacentral:rRNA from 1 species
UAAGUACCCCGAGGAAAAGAAAUCAACCGAGAUUCCCCCAGUAGCGGCGAGCGAACGGGGAGCAGCCCAGAGCCUGAAUCAGUAUGUGUGUUAGUGGAAGCGUCUGGAAAGGCGCGCGAUACAGGGUGACAGCCCCGUACACAAAAAUGCACAUGCUGUGAGCUCGAUGAGUAGGGCGGGACACGUGGUAUCCUGUCUGAAUAUGGGGGGACCAUCCUCCAAGGCUAAAUACUCCUGACUGACCGAUAGUGAACCAGUACCGUGAGGGAAAGGCGAAAAGAACCCCGGCGAGGGGAGUGAAAAAGAACCUGAAACCGUGUACGUACAAGCAGUGGGAGCACGCUUAGGCGUGUGACUGCGUACCUUUUGUAUAAUGGGUCAGCGACUUAUAUUCUGUAGCAAGGUUAACCGAAUAGGGGAGCCGAAGGGAAACCGAGUCUUAACUGGGCGUUAAGUUGCAGGGUAUAGACCCGAAACCCGGUGAUCUAGCCAUGGGCAGGUUGAAGGUUGGGUAACACUAACUGGAGGACCGAACCGACUAAUGUUGAAAAAUUAGCGGAUGACUUGUGGCUGGGGGUGAAAGGCCAAUCAAACCGGGAGAUAGCUGGUUCUCCCCGAAAGCUAUUUAGGUAGCGCCUCGUGAAUUCAUCUCCGGGGGUAGAGCACUGUUUCGGCAAGGGGGUCAUCCCGACUUACCAACCCGAUGCAAACUGCGAAUACCGGAGAAUGUUAUCACGGGAGACACACGGCGGGUGCUAACGUCCGUCGUGAAGAGGGAAACAACCCAGACCGCCAGCUAAGGUCCCAAAGUCAUGGUUAAGUGGGAAACGAUGUGGGAAGGCCCAGACAGCCAGGAUGUUGGCUUAGAAGCAGCCAUCAUUU